rnacentral:rRNA from 1 species
AGCAGCCGCGGUAAUUCCAGCUCCAAUAGCGUAUAUUAAAGUUGCUGCAGUUAAAAAGCUCGUAGUUGAAUUUCGGGACUAAUAUGUCGGUCGUGCCUCGGUACGUACUGGUUUAUUGGUUUCUCCUUUCUGAAGAACCAUGAUGUCAUUUAUUUGGUGUCGUGGGGAAUCAGGACUGUUACUUUGAAAAAAUUAGAGUGUUUAAAGCAGGCUCACGCUUGAAUACAUUAGCAUGGAAUAAUGAAAUAGGACGUUUGAUUCUAUUUUGUUGGUUUCUAGGAUCGACGUAAUGAUUAAUAGGGAUAGUUGGGGGCAUUAGUAUUCAAUUGUCAGAGGUGAAAUUCUUGGAUUUAUUGAAGACUAACUACUGCGAAAGCAUUUGCCAAGGAUGUUUUCAUUAAUCAAGAGCGAAAGUUAGGGGAUCGAAGACGAUCAGAUACCGUCGUAGUCUUAACCAUAAACUAUGCCGACUAGGGAUCGGAUGAUGUUAAUUUUUUAAUGACUCA